rnacentral:rRNA from 1 species
CAGGACGAACGCUGGCGGCGUGCCUAAUACAUGCAAGUCGAACGGCUUUUCUAUGGAAGCUUGCUUCCACUGAAAAGAUAGUGGCGAACGGGUGAGUAACACGUGGGUAACCUGCCCAUAAGAGGGGGGAUAACAUCCGGAAACGGGUGCUAAUACCGCAUAGUUUUCUUGAUCGCAUGAUCGGAAAGGAAAGACGGCCUUUGUGCUGUCGCUUAUGGAUGGACCCGCGGCGUAUUAGUUAGUUGGUGAGGUAACGGCUCACCAAGACGAUGAUACGUAGCCGACCUGAGAGGGUGAUCGGCCACAUUGGGACUGAGACACGGCCCAAACUCCUACGGGAGGCAGCAGUAGGGAAUCUUCCGCAAUGGACGAAAGUCUGACGGAGCAACGCCGCGUGAGUGAAGAAAGGUUUUCGGAUCGUAAAACUCUGUUGUCAGAGAAGAACAAGUUGGAGAGUAACUGCUCCAGCCUUGACGGUAUCUGACCAGAAAGCCACGGCUAACUACGUGCCAGCAGCCGC